rnacentral:antisense_RNA from 1 species
CUUGAUCGAGCCGAGCAGCAGGGGACGGCCUUCGAGGCGGUCCUGGCCGUAGGUGGCGAGCAGGGCCUGCGCCUC